GUGGCCGGAAGUACUUACAGUCGACGCAAACUCAGUAUCUGCGUUUGUUUUCAAUGAAGGAGGAGAAAUAGGACAGAAUAAGUUUUUGCAGCCAAUUAUUACAUCGAGCAGUUCAUUCCGAGAAUGUCCGAAAUAUCCAAAACACAAAUGCUUAAAGCUUUGAUCAACGAACGACUAGUGUUCGCCGUUUUGGAAAUAUUCGAGGCAGUAGAAAAAAACAUACAUGAAUACCACGAGGAGGUGGACAAGACUACUCAAGAAAACACACGUCCUAAAAAGCGUUUGGACUUGAUUCUUCAACCUGAGAUAAGAUUGGACCGAGCUGAUGCUCAGCAGUGUGCUGGAGGUUGUGGAGAGGGGGGAGCAGAUGGGCACCUGGCCGGUGAGCAGGCUGCCUGCCUGGGUCAGAAGCAGCCAGAACACCUGCAGGUGAAACAGGAGCUCUGCAGCCCGGAGGAGGACCAGCCGCUACAACAACUCAAGUGUGAAGAAGCUGAGCUCUCACAGGAUCCUCAUUGUUUACGUCAGCCACACCAGUUACACCGUCAGAUGCUUGAGAGCAGGAAGGAAGGUGUCCGGGACUCUCUGGUGCUCAACCUGAACCUGAGGAAGUCUCAAGAACACCUGGGUCAAUCCACGACACUGUGGCCAUCUUAGAUGUUUGGAGUGAUUCACCAGGACAAUCAAUUUCUAAAAGGAGAAAGUUGGCAGAGAUAUGGAGGGACCCCAUAGAGGCCACACUCCCCUGCUCCACCCUGCAGCUCCACCCUGCAGCUCCACCCUGCAGCUCCACCCUGCAGCUCCCCUCCACCCUGCAGAGCCCCUCCACCCUGCAGAGCCCCUCCACCCUGCAGAGCAGCUCCACCCUGCAGCACAGCUCCACCCUGAAGAGCCCCUCCACCCUGCAGAGCCCCUCCACCCUGCAGAGCCCCUCCACCCUGCAGAGCCCCUCCACCCUGCAGCACAAGGUCCUCCAUGUAACGACCCCUGUGUAAGGAAGUAGCAACCAUUACCUUGCCCUGCUGCCACCAUGUGACACAGGCAGACAGGUGUGCUGCCACCAUGUGACACAGGCAGACAGGUGUGAUGCCAGAAUGUGACACAGGCAGACAGGUGUGAUGCCACCAUGUGACACAGGCAGACAGGUGUGAUGCCACCAUGUAACACAGUCUAUACAUAGUGUGACCCUAACAGCCAAAGAAUAUACUGAAUUUCAGAAAUAAUAUUAAACCAUUACAUAUGCUGAUAUGUGUCAUUACAUAUCAGCAUGACCAUCUGUAUGAGAGCUGAUGUAAGCUAGUGUUUUCAGGCUGGUGAUGGGCCCAGAGCUGCAGACAUGGAGCUGGUGGCCAGGCUGUCUGACAGACUGCUGGAGCUGAGACGGCCGGCAGGACUGACCCUCCACAGCCAGCAGUUCUCAGGCUGGAUCUACUAUGCAAACCUGGAUCUUGAGUAAAACCCAGGAGUGUUUAUCCUCUACGUUGUGUAAUCACUUGGCCUUCUACUUAGGUGGACAGCAUCAUGGGCUUGUGGCAGAGGCUGGCGGAUCCUGAUAAGCAGCUGGUUGGGCACCUGGACCGGCCGAGACCAUGCAGGCUCAGGUGUCCCAAGGCGAAAGACGUUCUCCUCCCAGGGGUGGACAGAGGGAAGCGGGGUGUGUUGGGGGGCUCUGCCCAGAGGCCAGACUGCUGCUGGCUGGUGGAGGCCAUCUUUGUGAGGCUCUGCAAGAUUCACAAGAGUCCCAAGAAGAAGUGGGGCCUGACAAGCCUGACAAGAUGGUGUCUGAUCUUGAAUGACUACCGUACCAUACAGCAGCUGGUUCUGUCCAGCGAGGCCAUGAAGCAGUGCUCCCUACAGCUGACUGAAGUGGACCAGACAACCCUCCGUCAGUGGCACAGGCAGAGGCUCUGCCCUGCUGUGGCUCCACCAUCCCAGAAAGCAGCCAUGAGGAGCCUCCAGCCCCAGGUUGCAGCAGGGCAGGCCCCAGCCUAGAGGCAGUCAGCCCACACACUGGCCCCUCCUCUCGAGGCAGUCAGCCCACACACUGGCCCCUCCUCUAGAGGCAGUCAGCCCACACACUGGCCCCUCCUCUAGAGGCAGUCAGCCCACACACUGGCCCCUCCUCUAGAGGCAGUCAGCCCACACACUGGCCCCUCCUCUAGAGGCAGUCAGCCCACACACUGGCCCCUCCUCUAGAGGCAGUCAGCCCACAGCUGGGAGUCCAGAGGGAGAUGUGUACCACCCAGUCUUGGAUGGUUUUACUAAUGCCUGCAGGUCCAGGUCUGUCUGUUCCUAUCCUGAUCUCCGCUUCUUGCUAAUGUCUGUCCGGUCCCGCCCAUCAAAACCCGAGUGUACAAACGUAGAGUGAGGCCUAACAUGUGUCGGAGGUGUGGGCAGCACCACAACACCCUGACGGGCAGAGCCAGUACAGGGGGCUGGUCUACUGCCCGGCCUCCGAGACGCUGUCCAAGGAACUGUGGCUCAGGGAGCAGAGGAGAACAUGCAGUAAAGUAGCUGUGCAGCAGUAGUUUAAAUAUGUUGGUGUUUGUAAAUAAAAGGUUAUGGGGGUGUAUGAUUUCCUUGUCAUUCAUUCAUUAAUUGUAGGUUCAUUGGUUUUAACUGACAUACUAUUUUACUAUACUUAUCUCAGGAGAAACGUUUGUCUUGCAGUACCCACACACCUGCAUGCUGGUAGAGGCCACCCUCACCCGUGCAGCAGUGUCCAGAAACCCCUUCUCCGUCCAUGCGGUCCCAUUUGCCAAGAGAUUUGGGAGCGGGCUGAUAUGUGCAGACAACCACUCCUGGGGACAGGGCGAAAAUAUUUAGAAGUAAAAAAUAAGCAUUUUUUUCAAAGAUAUUUUCUGGUGUCCGUACUUUACUUCACCAUAGAUGUAAUCUUUUCUCCUUUUUUUACUUUGCCUCCUAAGAUUUUCUACACAAAUAUCUGUAUUUUCUACACUUUAUAUUUUCAAGCCAGGCUCAUUACUUUUUCUAAUCUGUAUUUGAUGGCAUGGUCUUUCUCACCCCUGUCCUCUCCUUUCAUUGUGUGUGUGAAAAAUAAAAGUUA